AGCAGCGUGGCUCAGUGGAAGGAUCCUGGGCUUGGAAGUCAGCGGUCAUGGGUUCAAAUCCCAGCUCUGCCA
rnacentral:tRNA from 1 species